GCUUUCUGUGAUGCUUUAGCAGAGGAGAGUGCACGAGCUAUCACAGGAGCACCAAACCCAGUAGUACUCCACUCCUCUCAGCCUGCAGCUCCAGGUUCUUCAAUUCCUCAUAACAUAAAUCUCCAAAUACCCCAAUUCAAUACCAGUGCUCAAGAUCUGCAUGCAUUUUCACUUAAAAAAGAGCAACAAAGUUUUAGUACGCUAAGGUCAGAGUUACCACCAUGGUUAGCUUGCCCACCACCAGGACUAAGGGGUGGGGCUGGUCCUGGCCCACCACAUCAUCAUCAUCAACAGACACCCGUUGAUCAUCUCUCCUCCUCCUCAUCUU
rnacentral:misc_RNA from 1 species